rnacentral:rRNA from 1 species
UAGGGAAUCUUCCACAAUGGACGCAAGUCUGAUGGAGCAACGCCGCGUGAGUGAAGAAGGUUUUCGGAUCGUAAAGCUCUGUUGUUGGUGAAGAAGGAUAGAGGUAGUAACUGGCCUUUAUUUGACGGUAAUCAACCAGAAAGUCACGGCUAACUACGUGCCAGCAGCCGCGGUAAUACGUAGGUGGCAAGCGUUGUCCGGAUUUAUUGGGCGUAAAGCGAGCGCAGGCGGAAGAAUAAGUCUGAUGUGAAAGCCCUCGGCUUAACCGAGGAACUGCAUCGGAAACUGUUUUUCUUGAGUGCAGAAAAGGAGAGUGGAAUUCCAUGAGUAGCGGUGGAAUGCGUAGAUAUAUGGAAGAACACCAGUCGCGAAGGCGACUCUCUGGUCUGCAACUGACGCUGAGGCUCGAAAGCAUGGGUAGCGAGCAGG